GAUCAGGGUCAGUUGGUUAGAGCAUGGUGCUGAUAACACCAAGGUUGCAGGUUCGAUUCUAGUGUGGGACA